rnacentral:rRNA from 1 species
CCAGACUCCUACGGGAGGCAGCAGUGGGGAAUAUUGCACAAUGGGGGAAACCCUGAUGCAGCGACGCCGCGUGAGCGAAGAAGUACCUCGGUAUGUAAAGCUCUAUCAGCAGGGAAGAAGAUGACGGUACCUGACCAAGAAGCUCCGGCUAAAUACGUGCCAGCAGCCGCGGUAAUACGUAGGGGGCAAGCGUUAUCCGGAUUUACUGGGUGUAAAGGGAGCGUAGGCGGCGAUGCAAGUCAGAAGUGAAAGCCCGGGGCUCAACUCCGGGACUGCUUUUGAAACUGUAUGGCUAGAUUGCAGGAGAGGCAAGUGGAAUUCCUAGUGUAGCGGUGAAAUGCGUAGAUAUUAGGAGGAACACCAGUGGCGAAGGCGUCUUACUGGACCGAAACUGACGUUGAGGCUCGAAAGCGUGGGGAGCAAACAGGAUUAGAUACCCCCGUACU